rnacentral:lncRNA from 1 species
AGGUUUGGAGUGACCGUAUUACAAAAUAAACCAUCUACAGUGGACUUGGAAGUGGCAGUGAAUGGAAUAUUGAAUAAUAUUGAUCGAGGCAUUGAAGUUUCAAUUCAAUCAUGGAAGAUGAUAGCUCUAAUUUGGGACUGUAUUGGGCGAGGAUAGCAAUGACAAUGACAUGGCUACAUGUUAAUUCGCUUUCCGCAGGAUAAUAUUUUCAAGGUGGAAAUGAGAGUUGUGCUAAAGGGUUUGCGUGUUGCAUGGGGGAUAGGAUUGCGAUAGGUUGAGGUAGACUGUGAUAAUGCACUUCUAGUUGAAUCAUUGUUGGCUGGUGGAUCUGUUAAUAGAAGAAUGGUGGAGCUACAUUUGAUUCAUGGUAUCUUUAAUCGUAAGUGAAAGGUGCCAUGUUCCUAGAUCCCAAAACGCGGUUGCUGGUCAUAGGGCAAGACUUGCGGUAUCUGGUGCUCCAAGUCUAGUGGUUUUUUAAUAACCUUCAAUAUCGGUCCAAUAUGUAACACCCCUAACCCGAAUCUGUCACCGGAACAGGGUUACGGAGUAUUACCGAAAUUUAUAAAUUAAUUUUCAGACAUUUCAUUUCAUCUAACAUUCAAAUAUAUUCACAUCAAUAACAAACAUUUCAAGCAUUUAAGAAUAUAAUUCAAGUUACACGAACUUACCGGGCUAAACUGUAGAAAUACCACAAUUCAGGGACAUUUUGAUAAUUUUUCAUUUUCCUUGAAUUUCCACCCAAUCUUGAUCUAAUUUAAUAUUUCAUUCAAUUUAUUAAUUUAAAUAAUAAAACAAUUCAUUUCAUGCAAUUUGGUCAUUUUUGACAUUUUUAUAAAAUUUCCCUUAAAAUUUUACUUUUAUUCAAUUUAGUCCUUGAACCUAAAACAUGUAAAUUAGCUAUUUUAAAAUAAACUCAUAUUAUCUGAAUAUUCACAUAUAUUUUUCCUCCUCCUCCACUCCAUUCCACAUCCUUGAUAUAUACAUAAUACCACUAUUUACUUGUUUACUCAUAACAAGUUGUUCACUUGAGUCAUAGUCACUAAAUUAAUUAUAUCUUAAGCUACAGAACUCCAAAUUGAGAUCAGUAAAUUUUAUAUGAAACUAGACUCACAUAUAUUUUUACCAUAAAAUUUUCUGAAUUUUUGGUUUAUUCAAUAAGUACAGUUUAUUCUUUAAAUUCAUCCCUAUUAUGUUGUCUGACAGUUUUGACCCUUCUUCACUAAAAAUUAAUUAUCUCAUCGUACGGGAUACAGAUGAUGUUCUCAUUUGUUUAUAUUAAAAAUAGACUCAUUAAUAAUUUUAAUAAUGUAAAUUUUAACCCCUAAUUAUUUUUCUCCAAUUUUUUAUGAUUUUCAAAAGUCAGAACAGGGGAACCCGAAUUCAUUCUGACCUUGUCUCACAAAAUUCAUUAUAUUUCAUGAUUUAAAAUUCCAUUACUUACACCGUUUCUUCUAUUAGAAACUAGACUCAAUAAGAUUUAAUUACAUAUUUUUAUUAUCCUCUAAUUAAAUUUGCAUGAUUUAUGGUGAUUUUUCAAAUUUAACCUACUGCUACUAUCCAAAACUGUUUUAGUGCAAGAUGUUGAUUACUAAGUUUAUAACUCCCUUAUUCCCUUUCUCUAUAAUAUUUCCCAUCACUUUCACUUAUUUCCCUUCACUAAUAUAUCAAGAACAUAAGACCUUAUAUAAGAAAACUCUACUAUAACAUCAUUUCCAUGCUUUUUCAAUAAUAUCAAACUUAAAAAUAUAUUGAAAUCUUGAUGUUCUUACCUUGUCAUAUUGAUUUCAAUCUUUAACUUAAUUUUCUCUCUCGUCCAGCUUCUAUUUCUCGAAUCUAACUUGAUAUUUUAGCUCCUCAUAGUCUCCUUGUUAUCUUUCUCUCUUGAGAGAUAUGGAAAUUCUUUUGAUUUCUAGGUGAAAAUGAUAAAUUUUUGGUAGAAUGACCAAUUUGUAAAGAAAGCAAAAAUUUCUUUCUUCUCUUCUCUUCUAACGUGAAAUGCAUGGAAAGAUGGUGGGUUGGAUGAUUCUUCAUCUUUCUUUUCUUAUAUAUAUACUAAAUCAAAUACUAAUAAAAUAAUAAAAUAUUAUUUAAAAAUCAAAUUAAAAUAUUAAUAAACUAAUAUUUAUUUAUUUAAUUAAUCUAAAAUAUCUCCAAUAUCAUCAUUAACUUCUAGAUUUCUCUCUCUUCUAAUUGACCAUUUUGCCCUUUAUGAUCUCUCAAAAUUCCAUCCUUGAGUCAUCACUUAAUUUGGUAAAAUUGCGAUUUAGUCCCUCAAAAUUCUUCACCUUUUUCAAUUUGGUCCUAAUCUAUCCAUUUUCCUUAGUUUCUAGAUCAUUCCACCCUUAAAAUAUUUACACCAUUGGUCCUUCAACUUUUUCAUAUUUACACUUUCACCCCUCAAAUUUUGAGUAUUUACUCUUGGGCAACAAAAUUUUUCUCUCUUUUGCGAUUUAAUCCUUUCUUAAACUAGUAUGUCAUAAUAUACUUCCCAAUGUUGACAUAACUCCAAAAUUUCCCCUUUUUGUCGCUUUAUUUCCUUAUUUUAUUAUAUCAAAUAUAAUAUCUUAUUGUAAAAAAAUUUUUUUGGGGUAUUACACAAUAACUUCUAUUAAUUGAUAAGAAGAGCUUUCAUAUGUUCUGAGACGGGUGUUUUUUUGUAAUCGAUUUAUGCUAUUCUUUUCUACCAAAAGAGAAUUUGUGGGUAGAGUAUACUAAAAGAAAUGUAAAAAAUAAAGAAUUGCAAUAUGAACGCAAUAACCAUACUCCUUUAUUAAAGUUAAAGAAAGAUAAUCUUUUAGGUUUACAUACCCUACUUCUUUAUUAAAGUUAAAGAAAGAUAAUAUUUCUUUUUAGACUGCCCCCACUAAUAAUUCAUCAACUUUUAACUAGCUCCCAAAUCUCAAGGAAAUUGCAAUGCUUUCCAACUUCCACACCAAAAAAGUGGAGAUGAAUUAUCUCAAUUUCCUUUAUUCGGUUUCAAGGUGUCUACUACCUUCUAUUCUUACUUACACUUGCCUCCUUUACCAUCUCACUCCUCUAAUGGAAAAGCUUCAAAACCUCCUCCUCCUCCAGUUGUUGCUGCUUCUUUCCCUUUCAUCAGCUUACACGCCUCCAGAUAAGUACUUCAUCAACUGUGGAUCUAAUUCUAACGUCUCAGGCAGCGGAGGUCGAAACUUUGUCGGUGACCUGAAUUCCGGUGUUUCCUUCUUUGUAGGGCAAAGCAGCCCUGUCCCUUAUGCAAAUCCUUCCUCAUCUCAACUCUAUCAAUCCGCAAGAAUCUAUCGACGCCCUUCCUUUUACGAGUUUGUAAUUAAUGAGAGCGGCACCUACUUUGUACGUCUCCAUUUCUUUGUUUCUUCAUCUGAUUCUAAUCUAGCCACAGCUAAAUUUAAUGUCUCAGCUUCAGGAUUUUGGCUAUUAUCAGACUUUACUCUCAAGAACAGUAUUAGUUCACCUGUCAUCAAAGACUUUUUGGUCACCAUCAAUGUAAAAAGAUUUAGGAUCUACUUCAUACCUUCCCAUGGAUCAAACUUGGCUUUCGUAAACGCCAUCGAAGUCUUUCUUACCCCCGAGGAUUUCAUCCCCGAUACCGCUUCUCGUGUUACUCCUGCAGGAAGUAGAAUUUCUUUUGAUGGUUUGCCUUCUCAGGUGUUGCAUACACUUUUUAGGAUUAAUGUUGGAGGGCUUACCCUCACACCAGAAAAUGAUACAUUGUGGAGGAACUGGAUACCAGAUGAUAGUUUCUUGCUUAAUCCAAUGGCUGCAAGGAACAGUGACUUCUUCCCUGAUUCACCUAACUAUCGAGAAGGAGGAGCCACUGAAUAUACUGCCCCAAGCCCUGUGUAUAGGACUGCAAAAGAAAUGAAUAUAGAUGAGAGCAGACAACUAAAUUUCUUCAAUGUUACAUGGAGUUUUAAUGUGAGCAAGAGUUCUAGUCACUUCGUUCGGGUCCACUUUUGUGACAUAAUUAGUGUAUCUCUUAAUGUCACAAUCUUCGAUCUCUAUAUCUACAACAAGUUUAGUGUGAGGAUUAAUCCAUAUGAUAAAAUGGGUCAGUUGGCUACUCCAUUUUACUAUGAUUUUGUGGUUGAUUCUGAUGAGUCUGGAAUCAUGAACAUAAGUAUAGGGCCUCGAUCGGAUUCUCAAAAUCAAACUGCCUUUCUGAAUGGGCUAGAGAUAAUGCAGUUAAUGAAGAAAUCAGAUUUUGUUUCGUGGCCAGGGAAGCCUGAAAGUAAUAAGACUAGUCUGUUUGCUAUAGUUGGCUCCAUUGGUGGGGGUUCAUUUGUUAUUAUUUUGGUAGCAAUAGUGCUUCUGAGUUUGAAAAGGAGAAAAGUAAAGCCUGGACAAUCUUCAAGUUGGCCUUUCUCAGGGCCUUUCUAUGCAAGAAGCAGUUCUUACAAUAGAAUGUCUGAAAAGACUUCUAAUAUGUUACCUUCCAAUUUAAACCUUGCUUUGAGAUUAUCAUAUCAUGAAAUUGAGCAAUCAACCAAGAACUUCGAUUCCAACUUGGUGAUUGGGGAGGGUGGAUUCGGAAAAGUCUAUCAAGGAAUGUUUCGUGGCAUGAAAGUGGCUGUGAAAAGGAGUGAACCAGGACAUGGCCAAGGCCUUUUAGAGUUCCAAACCGAGAUAGUGGUCUUAUCUCAAAUUCGCCAUCGUCAUCUUGUUUCCUUAAUCGGAUAUUGUGAUGAAAGAUUUGAAAUGAUACUGGUCUAUGAAUUCAUGGAGCAAGGAACUCUUAGAGAUCAUCUCUAUUAUUCAACUGCCGAUCUUGAGAAAUCAUACAGUGCACGUUCUGAAUUCUCUUGGAAGCAAAGACUAGAAAUUUGCAUCGGUGCAGCUAAAGGCCUUAAUUACCUGCACACAGGUGCAGCUGGAGGAAUCAUUCACCGUGAUGUUAAGUCAACAAACAUCUUGCUUGAUGAACAAUUUGUGGCCAAAGUUGCUGAUUUCGGUCUUUCAAAAUCAGGCAUUCCUGAUGUAGAACAUAGCGUCGAUGUAAAAGGUACCUUUGGUUAUCUUGACCCUGAAUACUUCAUGUCUCUACAGUUGACAGAUAAAUCCGAUGUGUAUUCUUUCGGAGUUGUACUUCUAGAAGUCCUUUGUGCCAGGCCAGCGGUCAUCAACUCGAACAGGAGGGAGGAAGUGAACUUAGCUGAAUGGGGAAUGUAUUGGCUGAGGAAAGGUCAACUUGAUAAUAUUAUUGAUCCAAUACUAGUGGAUACUAUUAAUCCCAACUCAUUUAGGAAGUUUGCUGAAACAACAGAGAAGUGUUUGAAGGUAUAUGGUAGUGAAAGGCCAAUCAUGCGUGAUGUUUUGUGGGACUUGGAAUAUGCAUUGCAGCUUCAGCUUACUCCAAUCAACAGAGGCCCGCUUGAAGAUAGUAUAACCAAUGCUUCAUUGGAAUUUUCGAUGCCUGUUCUCCAUCAAUUACCGUCUAAUAGCUUUCCAGCUGUUGAUGAAGACAACACUACUCUAGUAUUUGAUGAUACUUCAGAUGUAACUGCUAGUGAAGUAUUCACAGAAUUGAGGAUUGGUGAUUCUAGAUAAUCUCCACUGGUUUAAAGGAAAAACCCCAUUUUUUUAGAAGAAUUUCAGUGGUGUAGGACAAUGGGAACCCCAUCAAUAUACAUGUUUCACUGCAGUAAUACAAAGUAAUUUCUCAUGAGUGAUGUACAAGCCCAUUUUGCCCAGGCCCAAAAACUCACUUAAACCUACCCAAACCCAAUUACAAUACCCAAAUAACCCAUUACAGGCCCAAAACCCAAACCAACUAGAUCUAGCCCAACAGCCCACAAACCCAAUACCCAUCAGCAGAAACAAGGAUAGCAAAACAGUAACCCUAACCCUAGGUGCGCCACACCUAGGGUCGUCCGCUUGCCCUGCCACAGCCGCCAUCGCCAUGCCCACUUGCCACUGCUCACCUGCUCCGCCGCCCAUCAAUCAUCUGCAAAAUGAAGGAAAACACGCAAGUAGAAACAAGAAAGAAAAAACAAAAAAUAAAUCAUGUAUGUUUCAGCUAUAAAAGCCUUGAAAAAGCUUUGUUGUUUCGGGGGGGUUACAAAAAAAAAACAGAGGAGAAAUAAAAAAGCAAUUGAAUUUCUAAGGUGAUUUUCCUUAUGUUAUUUAUUUACUAUUUUUUCUAAUAAUUUUACAAAGAAAAAAACAAAAAAGGUUAGGGUUUUACCUAUUUUGGUGGCAGUGAAAGGAGAGAACCGAAAGGUUUUUUCUCACUUUCGGCCCGAUUUGUUGAGAUCUCGACAUUUUUAGCCCCAAAACGGAACUCCUCGCGAAGAGGCGCUUAAAAGGGACACUUUUUAUUUUCGCCAAUCGUCGUACACGGCGGCAUCGACAACAGCGACCAACGGCCGGUGCAGCGGCCGAUGGCCGGAGCCCUCGCCGGAGGCUGGCUGAAAAUCGUAGCUGAGAGGGAUUUGAAAGAGUGUUUUUGAAAAAAAAAACAUUUUGAAAGAGAGAAAAAAUGAAAUUUUUGGGAAUUUUUUUGGGAUAUAUAGGAGCGUGAAACGGCGCCGUUUUGGCCCAGCUCCAAAACGCCCAAAAUGGCGUUGUUUUGCGUCAGACCCGAUUACCCGACCCGUCAACUCCAGGAUCCGCGUGUUUUUUAAAACGGAAGGGCUAAUUACGCUUUCAGCCCUUCCGCUUUUAAAUAAUUUUGCAAUCAAGUUCUUUUUGUUUUUAAAUUCGCCAUGUAAUUUAUCUUGCUUUACAAUCUGGUCCAUUCCGAAACGCAAUGUUUUGGAGGGUGGGAAUAUUUCUCAUUUUGGUCCCUCCAUUUUUACGCGCGUCAGAUUGGGGCUCUGAUUCUUUUUUUUUAAAUUUGGAUCUUUAAUUUUAUUUCUUUCUCAAUUUAAUCCCUUUCGCGUUUUAUUUUUAAUUUGGGCUCUCAAUUUUAUUUUAACUUCAUUUUAAUACAGUUCUCAUUUAUUAUCAAUUCUUUUUUAUAUUUAUAUCUAUAUAUAUAUAUAUACAUACAUACAUUUUCAUAAUAUAUAUAUGUACACAUAUAUAUUUUUUAUAAUUUAUUUAAUAUAUACAUACAUACUCAUAUUUUUUUAUAAUUUAUAUACAUAUCCAUAUAUAUAUAUACAUAUACAUAUAUCUAUAUACAUUUUUUUUUUUCACGAAUAUAUAUAUACAUACUUAUAUUUUUUUUAUAAUUUUUAUGUACAUAUACGUGUAUAUACAUACUUACAUAUACUUUUAUAUUUAAUAAUUUUAAAAUACAUAUAUAUACAUAUAUUUUUCAUAUUUUCAUAAUUUUAUGUAUAUACAUACAUAUAUAUUUCUCUUAUAUGUACACAUAUUUUUUAGAAUUUUUAUGUACAUAUACGUGUAUAUACAUACUUACAUAUACUUUUAUAUUUAAUAAUUUUAAAAUACAUAUAUAUACAUAUAUUUUUCAUAUUUUCAUAAUUUUAUAUAUAUACAUACAUAUAUAUUUCUCUUAUAUGUACACAUAUACUUUUAUAUUUUACAAUUUUUAUCUAUUUUCUUUGUUGUUAUUAUUGAUUCACUUGAUGUUCAUUUAUUCAUUUAUCUACAUAUUCAUUAUUAUUACUUUAAAUGCUCUAUUUUUUUUUUACUUGUUUAUUUGCUUGUUAUUGUGUACAUGAUUGUUUUGUUUUUUUAUUUAUCUUUUUAUUAUUUUUGUUUUGCUCAUAUCAUUUUUACUUAUAUUAUUAUAAUUGUUGUUCCGUCAUGCAUAAUUUUUAUUCAAAUACAAAAAGAAAAUUUUAAAUUAAGGCAAUAUUUUGGGUUUGGAAAUUUAAGAAAACGUGCCCUAAUGUGUUGGGUUUUGAUUUCUCGUUUAGCCAAAUAGCCUAAUAUCCUUUUAAAAUUUCAAAGUAUGGAUUUUGGAAACUAUAAGGUGAUCUUGGUUUCGAGAGUUUAAAGUAUCGUAUCCUAAUGUGCUGAAUGUGAUAUCCUUUCGAAACAAGAGAAUCCUAAAUUCCAACCCAUAUUAUUCGAAAAUUUUUUAGGAUCGUAUUUUUAAAAUUCUUCAAAGUUUUCAAUCUUCGGCACUAAAGACACUAAAUAAUCAACUAGGUACUAAUUUUGGGCGUUACAAGGGUGCUAAUCCUUCCUCAUACGUAACCGACUCCCGAACCUGUUUUUCUAAAUUUCGUGGACCAAAAUCGUUGUUUUAAUAAAACCAAAUCAUUUAUUAAAAACAACCACUUUUUGAGGUGACCCGAUCACACCUCAUUAAAAAAAUUGGUGGCGACUCCCGUAUUCAUUUACUUUUUUCAAAAUCCAAGUCGACCCCGUUUUAUCAAAAAAAUAGUGUCAACAAGUGAUCUUGUUUUUAGUUUCGAUAUCAAUCUUGUUGACACCAUUUUUUGUAAAACGGGGUCGACUUGGAUUUUUGAAAACAAAAACGAACAUUAGAGUCGCGACCAAUCUUUUUUUGAUGAGGUGUGAUCGGGUCACCUCGUAAAACAGUUGUUUUAAAUAAACAGUUUAAAUUUAUUAAAAUAAUGCUUUUGGUCUGCAAAAUUCAGAAAGAUAGGUUCGAAAGUCAGUUACGUAUGAGGAAGGAUUAGCAUCCUCGUAACGCCCAAAAAUUAGUACCUAGUUGAUUAAUUAGUGUCUUAAUAUAAAAGAUGUGCAAAAAUUUUAAAAUACGAUCAUUGUAUUAAAAAACUUGUAUAAAUCAAAUUAGCCGUUAAGACCCUUUCAUUUCAAAGAGAAAAUGUUAUACCUAAUGAAUUAGGGUAUGAUAUUUCACCUCCUCAAAAAAUGAGCUUGUCCGAAAACUAAUGCAAUAAAGUUUAAAAAGAUAUUCAAUUGUUUAAGUCAGAUAAAAAAAUCGCAGCUCUCAAUACGUUAGGGCACAAUUUCUCAAAAUUCUAAACAUUGUCUAUUGCCUUUAUUAUUAUUUUUUUAAAAAUUCUCAAUUCAAGAAAACAACGUGUCAUAUCCAAUGCGUUAGGACACAACAUAUUAAAUUCCCGAUAAUGAGCUUUUUAUGUUUUUCUUAUUAAAGAGCAUUCUCGAUUAUUUAGAUUCAAUGAAAAAAUUAAAACCCAAUACGUUAGGACUCAAUCCUCUCAAAUCUAAACACGAAAUUUUACUUAUUUGAAAGUCGAAACUUAUACGUUGAGAUAAAUUAAUCUAACUUGAAAUAGUAGAAAUAAAACACGAGAUUAACAUGCGUACAAAGCAGUAUUGAAUGCAAUAGUAUAAAAAUAAUACGAGCAACAAAAAUAAAAAUGAACGAAUAAAAAGGACAAAUUAAUAACAUGCAAAAUAACAAAUAUAAUAAACAAGUAAGCUUAAAACAUUCUUUUAAAAUAAUGAUGAAAACAUAAAUAAAUAAACAAAUAAAGAGAAUGAAUAGAAUUAUAAAAGGAUAAAUAUGUAUGUGUUUAUGAAAAAAAUAGGUAUAUAGAUAUAUACAGAUAUGUAUGUAAAUAAAAAAUACAUACAAAAAAAUAACUAUGUAUAUAUAUAUACGAAUAUAAAUAAGUUAUAAAAAUAUAUAUAUGCAUAUAUGUAUAUGUAAAUUAUAAAGUAUGAAAAGGAUAUAAAUAUAUAUAUAAAUCAAAAAUAGCUUUCUACCAUUUAUAUAGAUAUAUAAAUAAAAUAGUAUUGUGUAAAACUAUUAGUGAUUUUUAAACAUAGAAGUAUAUAAAAAUAAACCUUUCUUUAAAAAUAUAUAUUUAUAAAAUAAAAUCAUUAAAAAUAUAUAGACAAUAUUGAAUUAGUAUAAAAACCUAGACUAAUACAUUAUGAAAUAUAAUAUAUGAUAAAAGAGUUAAAAUAAUAGCACAUAAUAAAAUAAAAUAAUGUAUAAAAGGGGUAAACAAAUAUAUAAAUUAAUACAACAAUAAUACUUACAAUAAUAAUAAUAAUAAUAAUAAUCUAAUUAGUUAAUAAUAAUAAAAUAACAAUGAAAAAGGGCUAAAUUAGAAAUAAAUAAAAUCUUAGGAGCGAAAUCGGGAAUAAACAAAGAAAAGAAAGGUCAAAUUGAACGUGCGGUUAACGAGGAGGGGCCAAAUGGGCAAUAAUCCCAUCCUCCAAAAAGCACCGUUCCCUUAGAGACUGAAUCAUGAUAAAAUAAAAUUAUUGGGCUUAAUUAAAAGAAAUAAAAACAAGCAAAAGGAUCUAAUUGAAACAGGUGUAAAAUUCGGAAGGACCAAGAUGGCUAUUGUCCCAAUUUAAAAGAAAACACGCGGAUCCCUGGGUGCGGGUCGGGUCGCGCAAAACGGCGCCGUUUUGGCACUAAAAGACCCUGAAUGAAACGGUGCGGUUUUGUAACACUAUAAAAGCUAAUUUUUUUUCAAAACUCAUUUCUUCUUCUUUUUCAGAAAAAAUACAGAGUAUUCUCUCUACCCCGAUCUAAGGCCAAAUAAACCAAAAAAAAGGGAAAUCUUUGGAUCUGCCUCCCCUUUUGCUGUGGCUUUUCGCCUAACCCCGAGGAUUAAGUGGCCUUGCAAAUCGGAGAGUGGGACACCGACAAACGGGUAAAUAUUUUGUUUUAUUUUCUCUUUUAAGAAUCAAAACAAAUGGAAAAAUGUCAACUUUUUUGUUUAAACCCGAUCUUUAGACCCUUUGGUAUUCGAUCCCCUGUUUCUUUUUUUCUCGUAUGUAAAAAAAGCAAUAGAUAAAAGGUAGAGUAAAAAAAACAAAAUUAAAAAGAAUUAAAACGCAAAAUCCCAGUAAACCUUCUAAAGACUUCUCCGUUUUGGUGUUUUUUAUUUUUUCUUCCUUUUUUAUUUCUGGAAAAGACCCCCUUUUUACAAAGUGAGGUUCGGCUCUUAUAGCCGAAAAUACAAGAUUUUUCCUUUCUUUUGUUCCGUGUUUUCUUUUCUUUUGCGGGUGGAGCAGGUGGCUGAGCGGUGGCAAGUGGGCGGUGACCGACGUGACAGUGGCAGCUAGGGUUUGACCGUUCUUCUGUUUCUGAUUUGAUGUUGGGAUUUGGGCUACUGUUAAUUGGGCUUAGGGUUAUUGGGCCGGGUAUUGUAAUUGGGCUUGGUUUUUAAAUGUUUAGUUUUGGUUGUAAUUGGGUUUUUGGGCCCCGGGUAAAUUUGGGCUUGUACAAAUCUGAUAGUAGGUUAAUUUCUGCCAAAUGGUUCCUGAAAUGGUGAUUGGAAGGUUACAACUAUAAGUAUAAAUUAUUGAAAGAAUCUUAAAAGAAUAUAGUUUUGAUGUGACCAGAUUGCAAGAAGACAAAUCGUCUUUAUAUUCAUUUAAGCUUACAUCAGCAUCACACUGUUUCCAUUGACCAAGUAAAUGCCUGUAAAGCCAGAAAUGUCCUCUACCGAAUGAACAAAGUCUACAAUUACGAGGGCAUUUAAGGCAUUUCCCAAUGCAACACGGCUUAGAAUUUUCUCUGAGCCUGUUUUGGUUCAUAAACGAAUUCAGGCUCCCUGUUGACUUAUCUUCAAUCCUUCAAUAGGAAUCAUUGAUUCACAUAAUGGAAUUGUUUUGAAGAGACAAAGUUUAACCAAAUACUGCAAAUCAAUGGGAAAGUUUCAGUGGGAUAAACAUCAUGAGUCUUUAAGCCUUUUUCUUUAUCUUGUCAUUUUCUUCUCAUAUCAGCUGCCUUCUUCAGCAUACACGCUUCCAGACAAGUAUUUCAUCAACUGUGGAUCAAACAUCGCCGUAAACGUCAGUUCCCAGACCUUUGUCAGUGACUCGAAUUCGGAUGUUUCAUUUACGGAACAAAACAGCUUUGUCACAUACAACAGGCAGGCAUCAGAAACACCACCUCUGUAUCAAACUGCAAGAGUUUUUCGGAAGCAGUCUUCAUAUGAGUUCAAAAUCAAUACUAAUGGCACUUACCUGGUACGCCUUCAUUUCUCCAACUCAACUGAUAUCUCAGAUGCUAUUUUCAAUGUUUCAGCUUCAGGUUUUCUCCUCUUGCAUGAUUUCACUGUCCAAAAAAUUGGCAGCUCUACCAUAACAAAGGAAUUCAUUUUGAGCAUUCCAAUAGGCAAAUUUUUAAUCUACUUUGUACCGCAAGGAUCUUCUUUCGCAUUCAUCAAUGCCAUCGAGGUCUUUCCGGCCCCUCCAGAUUUCAUUUCUGAUGAGCCUACACAGAUUAGUCGGACUGGAAACAGCAAUGAUUACAAAGGCCUGCUCUCUCAAGCAUUACAGACGAUUCAUAGGAUUAAUGUUGGAGGCCCUACACUUACACCAGAUAAUGAUACUUUGUUAAGAACAUGGCUUCCUGAUGAUAGUUAUCUGACCAAUUCAGGCAUUGCAAAGAAUAGUGAAGUUUUCUCAGGUAGGCCUAAUUAUGAUCUUGUUACCGAUUUUAUUGCACCAGAUCUAGUAUACAGGACCUCCAAAGAGAUGGCAUCAAACGACUCCAAUAUAACCUGGUCUUAUGAUGUAACCAGAGAUGCUAGGCACUUGAUUCGGGUUCAUUUCUGCGAUGUUAUUAGUGUAUCACAGAAUGUUUUAAGUUUUUUUCUCUAUAUAAAUAGCAACUUCAGCCAGAACAUUAACCCUUACCGAGAAGUGGUUAAACUGGAGACUCCAUUUUUCAUGGACUUUGUGGUUGAUUCUGAUGAUUCAGGGUUCAUAAACAUCUCCAUAGGGCCUGAUAGUAAUUCUUUAGUUCAAAAUGCUUUUCUAAAUGGCGUUGAGAUAAUGGAAAUGAUGGGGAAAUCUAAUUUGGUCCCUGUAACACAUAAGUCCAACAAUAUGUCUCCCUUCAUUAUUGUUGGUGUGGUCCUCGGAGGUCUUGUUCUUGUCUGCAUCUUUGGAGGUCUAUUGUUUAUUGGACUGAGACGUAGGAAGCCAAAACCUGUUGAAACUUCAGAAUGGUCACCAUUACCUAUAUUUAAAGGAAGUUCUCAUGGUAAAUCCAAGACACCAAGCAAAGAGGGAACCAUUACUGCUUCUCCUGUGCCUAACUUGAACCUUGGUUUAAGGAUACCAUUAGACGAGAUUAAGUUGGCAACAAACAACUUCGAUAAGAAGUUACAGAUUGUUAAGGGUGGAUUUGGGACUGUCUAUCAAGGGACUCUCCGGAAUGGCUUGAAAGUGGCUGUGAAACGAAGUCAGCCAGGGUCAGGUCAAGGUCUACCGGAAUUUCAGACGGAGAUCAUGGUUUUAUCAAAAAUUCGACAUCGCCAUCUUGUUUCUUUGAUCGGAUAUUGUGAUGAAAGGCUUGAGAUGAUACUUGUGUACGAGUUAAUGGAGAAAGGAACUUUGAGGGAUCACCUAUAUAACGCAAAACUACCUUGCUUGUCUUGGAAGCAAAGGCUCGAUAUUUGCAUUGGUGCUGCAAGAGGACUUCAUUACCUUCACAAAGGUGCAUCUGGGGGCAUCAUUCACCGUGAUGUCAAGUCGACAAACAUCUUGCUCGAUGAGAACCUUGUAGCCAAAGUAGCUGACUUUGGCCUUUCAAGAUCAGGUCCUCCGGAUCAAUCCCAUGUUAGCACAGGCAUUAAAGGAACUUUUGGUUAUCUUGAUCCUGAGUACUUUAAAACACAACAGCUGACAGAGAAAUCCGAUGUUUAUUCGUUCGGAGUGGUUCUUCUUGAGGUGCUCUGUGCAAGGCCGGCUGUCAAUCCUGCACUCCCAAGAGAGCAAGUGAACCUAGCAGAAUGGGGAAUGCGUUGCAAGAACAAAGGAUUGCUUGAUCAGAUUGUGGAUCCAUCCAUAAGAGAUCAGAUCAAUCCCAACUCAUUAAGAAAAUUUGCAGAGAUAACAGAGAAAUGUUUGCAAGAAGAUGCCUGUGAUAGGCCUGGCAUGGGUGAUGUGGCAUGGGACUUGGAGUAUGCGUUACAGCUCCAGCAAACAGCAGUUGUCCAAGAGCCACACGAGGACAGUGCAUCAAAUACUAACGGUAUGCUAUCGUUGCAUGUUAUCCAGCGUUUACCUUCCACAAAUAUCGAAUUUGAGGGAGAUGAUAUGUCCAUCAUAAAGGAGGAUGAAUCUGACUCAGUCCCAUCGGCAAGUGGAGUUUUCUCCCAAUUGAAAAUGGAUGAAGCCAGAUAAAUCAUUUGGUUUAUAAAGCAAAGUUUCCCGGUGUAAUGUUUUUUGUUCUACCCUAUGUUUCACAUCUGGAAUUAAAUUUGGCACUGCUUUCAUAAGCAAGACAUUUCAAUUACAGUGUUUAAACUGCAAGAUGUAUAAUAUAAUAAUGUAACAACCAUUUUCAAGAUCACAUGUUUACCAGACCAGAUGGUUAAACUGUACACAUGCCAGCUAGAAACACAACUUAUAUAACAUAUGUACCAAUACUAGAGUCCUGAAUAUUACAAACCAGAAGGACAAAAGGAAAAAAAUGAGCAACAUAAAUCCGAAUGAGAGAGAUUUGUACUAAAGACCAGGGCCUUUUCUGCUCGGUCCGGAAGCCGAAGUUGCCGCUUGCUACUCCUGCUUUGAUAAAACCCAACCGCUGUGACCUUCAGCUGAAUUUGAAGUCCUAACAUAUUUGAUCUCGGGAACAGCUUCCUCACUUGCAUCUCCAGUCAUCUUUGUUGAUCGAAGAGUUCUACAGCUGUAAUACCCAAUUUUAAGCCCGGGCCAAAUAAAUAAACAUCAAAAUAAUAAAAUAAUAAACAGUCCAUUUUUACAUGUAUGUGGCCCAAUUAUACUAACGGCCCAAAUACCUAGCCCUAACAGCACACAUCCGAAAAAACCUAGCCCUUUGCCCCAGCGCCGCACGUCAGCAAGGCUCCCUCGCACGCCUCCGCCGCAGACGAAUCGGGCCACGUCGCCCCCGCACAACGCACGUUCUCCUCCAGUGCAUCUGUAACAAACCACGAACAGCACUAGAAUAACAGAAAUAUAGAAAAAGAGAUUGUUUUUUUUUCUCUGUAAAGAUUCGGUUAUAAAAACCGAUGGACAUCUGCAAAAUUUUUUUUUUACGCAUAUUGAAGAAAGAAAACAAAAAAAAAAUCGAGGCAGAAAAGUUUUUUUGAUAGGUGAUUUUCUUCGUCUUUUAUUUCUUUCUCUUUUAUCUCUUUGAUUUUUUUUUCUUGGUGCACCAAACGAAAAUAAAAGGAAGAAGAGAGGUCCUUACCAACAUAGGCGCGCCGUCGACAUCCUGAUUUGCUUCGUCAAAAUCUAAGUUGAAAAGGGGGGGUUUCGGCAUGAAGAGCAGAGGGGAGGAUACAGCAGUUCUUGCGGCUGCUGUUACUGAAAAUGGAGUAGAAUAUCAGAUUUGCUUCAAAACGACGCCGUUUAAGCUCAGUUCAAAUAGCUUCAAAACGACGCCGUUUAAGAGGCGAGACCCGAUGAUCCGACCCGAUACGAGAAAGAGGAUCCGCGUGUUUUAUACUGAUGAUUUAUUUGCGCAUUGAAUCCUCCUAUUUUCUCGAUUUGUUUUGAUUCAAUCCCUUUCAUUUUUUUAAUUUCGGCCAUAUAAGUUUAUCUUGUUUCCAAUUUCAUCCUCUUAUCAGUUGAGGAUACAUAUGUCCAAAACGAUGCUGUUUUCAAUGAUCUGACCUGGUUUCCUAGACUGGUGCGCUUAAUUGCUGCAUUAGUCCCUUCAAUUUCAAACAAAUUACAAAUCGGUUCCCUUUUAUUUUAUUUAUUUUCAAAUUUUCCCCAAACAUUUGCUUUAGGACUAAUUUAAUCCUUUUUGUACAUGUGUUUUUUUUUAAAUAAUUGAUUUGAUAUCAUUUUUAUUAUUACUAUUAUUAAUAUUAUUAUUAGUAUGGUAUUUGUUUAUAAAAAUACUUUUUUUAUAUACAAUAUUUCAUUCUAUACAUUAUUUGUUUUAAGUAGAGGUGUCCAUGGGCCGGGUCGGGUCGAAUUUGGGCCGGGCCCAGAAAAAAUUUUGGCCUGUGACCUAGGCCAGGACCCAGCCCGAAAUAUGGGCCUGGAAUUUUGUAUAGGCCCGGCCCAGAAAAAAUUCCUAAGCCCAGCCCGGCCCGACCCAUUUUUUAAUAAACACAAAAAAUUUAUUUUAAGAAUAAAAAAUAAAAAAUAUAUAUUUAUUAUAUUCGGGCCGAGUCGGGCCUGGGCCAAAAAAGUGGUGCCCAAGGCCCGACCUGUUUUCUAAACGAGCCUCGUUUUUUUGCCCAAACCCAUAUUUCGGGACUAUAUUUUUACCCGAACCCUCCCAUAUUUCGGGCGGGUUGUCGGGCCGGGAUGUUUGGUAACUUAAGAUGAGUGAUAGUAAUGGUUUUAUUUGAGGAGAGAUGAUAUGAGGGAAGUCAAUAAAAAUAGAUUGAGGUAUGAUGUAAGAUAGUGUGUGAAUGAAAACAAUAAUGAGUAAUAAUUUUUUAUUAAAAAUGUUUUUUUUAAUUAUUAGAGAUUAUUAAAAUAUUAUGUUAUAAAAAUUUUAGAACUUAUGCUUUUAUAGAUUUUAUAAUUUUUUUAUUUUUAAUAAUUUUAAAAAUCAAUUUAAAAAGUCAAUUAUACCCUCUUAAAAUAAUAAAAAAAAUUAAGUAAGCCUUCCAUCACGUCAGCAUUUUUCAUAUUAAAUGCCAUGCUAGCCAUCAUAUUAUUAUAUUUCACGUCUGUCUAGGGCUUCAACGAAAAAUCAUAUUAUAAGGACUGAAUUAAUUACAGACUUUUGAUUAAAGACUCAAUUGAUUGCUUCUGAACGAGGGAUUUAAUUGGUUUUUAAAUUAGACAGGCCCUUUACACCAAAAUUAUGGGCUGGGCUACCACUUUAUAAAAGAAAAAGUUCCAACUUUAACAUAAACUGUAUUUGGACAUCUUACUUAGUGUAGGGGCUACGUUUUAAUCCAUGGAGAAGUAAAAUCAUAUUAGCCGCCCCUUUAAGGCCUCGUUUAUUGUGAUUUUGAGAAAUUAUAUCAUAUGAUUUUGAUUGAGAUUUAAGUAAUAUUUGUUAUUUUAUGAUAUGAAAUUAUUGGUAUGAUUAGGGGAGAAAGUAUUGUAUGAAAUUGUAAUUUCACGUCAUCUCUAUCCAUUUCUAAUAGAAGAAUAACAAAUUAAAUUUUUUCGGAAGAAAUUUAUCCCCUAUUAUCUCAUUGGCUGACCUCAACCCUUGUUAUUUUGAGGUCAUAUCUAAUAUUUAGAGUUUACCUCGAUUUGGUACCGCUCUCGUGGCCUGUACCGAAACAGUACUUUACCUCUAAAUGUCCAAUCAACUGUGCCUCAAUGCAUUUCAAGGAGAACCAGCUAGCUCUGGAUGUCACUUACACUGUGUUUGGUUCAGUGUAAUAGGUAAUCCAUUACGCCCCGAUUACCCGCCUAUUACAUUACGCCCCUAUUCCGGCGUUUGGUUCGCUAUAAUAGAUAUUACGCGCAUAAUACAAUCCCGACCUAAUCCCCAAAUUCCCUGCUUUUCUAUUCCCUUCCCAAAUCCCAGAUUACCUAUUACGUCCGGCUUCCCUUCCCAACUCUCUGUUUUACCCUCCCUCCCUACCCGAAAUCUACCUCCACCCUCUCCUUUUUCUGUCCCCAUCAUUUCUCCUCCCAUUUCCCACUGCUUCAUUUUUCCUCUCGAAGCACGUUUGGUUGUUGAAUCUUACCGACGACUGGGGUUCCUCUCCCUCGGAAAUCCUUAACUCUCGCCUAAAAUCGCAAGGUAAGGAUAAUGGGUAAUAUAUUUUGUUUUUCUUUUGUUUACUAUGCUUUUGAGGUAGAGUAUGUUUAGGUCUUAACAGUUCUCUAUUUAUGUUGAUCAGAAUUAUUUGGGGUUAGCUUAAAAUCACUACAAAGUUAAAUGUCUCCAUCUCUGCAAGUCCCCCCAAUAUAUAUAUUUUUGCGAAAAAUUUUGAACUUGGGAGAAGAUAUCUAAUUCUUAUAGAUUGGUUUAGUUUUCUAUAUGGAAUGGACAUUGUUAUCAGUUAAUCCUAGUUGCUUGAUGAAUCUUUCUUCUUCUUUGACUUCUCUUAAUCUGUUUGGGCGUCGUAUGCAAUGGAACUUCUCUUAAUCUAUCUCAAAUACAACUAAAUAAAAAUUCAUAUUUUUUCAACUAUUCUUCUGAAAAUUUAUUUUGUUUGUUUUGCAGUAUCUUGAAUACAUAUGACAGAUACAAAUAUUUUAAAAAAAACUAAGAACCCGAGAAGAAAGCUUUGCCUUUGGUUUUUGUUGCUCGAUGUUCAUUUUAUAUUUGUUAAUUCAUGAAACGAAAGCUCUCAUAUUUUUACUGGUCAGCUUAUGAGGAUUAGGGAAUUUUAAUGUGUUGAUAGAGAUCUUCAUCUAGAUAUAUAAUACUAGCUAUCCGUGUGAUUGCUUUAACUAUGGAGAACUUAAUCUAGAUAAAUCGUGUUUAGAUUAUGUAUGUACUUGCUUUGUACUUGUUGGAUUUAAUAAACAUUAGAUUCGGCAAUCUGCAUUUCAGCAUUUAUGGUGUUAUAUAUUUAUAUAAAAUUUGGCAAGUUUAUAAUUUGUAUCAUAUAAAAUUUCUUACAUUUGCUUAUUCAUUUAGUUUGCAAUAUGAUUAAUCUUAAUAAAAAUCAACCUAUAUAUGUUUUUGUUCUUUGAUUGGAGCUCUGCAUAGAUGAAUACGAAUUUGAUUUUGGUGUGUAAUUGUAAGCUUCUAAUUAUUUGUUUAGCGAUAUUCUUGCUUGGAAAUAUUGCUUACUUGAUUUACUGGUAUUUUGCUGUCAGUUUUGAACAAGGUUUGAUUGUUGUUUUUAACCCUUUUUUCUUUGAUUUAUCAUAUUGUGAUGAUCAGAUUGUUAUGAAUGUCAGGGUCUGGAUACGAUGAAUCCAAUAUUAAUCAUAGACAAAAAAGUGAAGCUGGUGAGUUGUUAACUUUGCAAAUCUUGCUAUAUUAUUUAAAUCAAGGUCAGUGUCAGAUGUGGAUCUGUACGUGACAUGGAUUUACCAAAAUUUUCUAUGUUUUUCUCUAUAUUUGGAGGACCAUUCCUCCACACUAGUGUCUGAAUAUGUUAUGUAUACAUAAAGAAACUGAAAAGUCCGAAUAUGAAGAAAUAAUUGGGACUUGCUUUGUUUUCUCUGAAGAUGGUGAGCAAUAUUUCCUGUUAUACUUACUUUGAGCUAAACCGGGACUUGGUUAACUUACUCCAUCCUAUUCUCUCUUUGUUAUCAUCUUCUUGCCCCUUGCAUAGCGGAAUAGCAAGUUACUUGUACAAUCCAGGCAUUCUUGUCGUGUUAUUAUUAUUUUUCUAUGUCGUAUUGCAUUUAAGGUGUUAUAUAGUUUGUGACACGAUAAAUCCAUGAUAGAUUUUGGCAUGUUUGUGCAUACAUGUUGUGUUCCAGUAGUUGAACUUCAGUCCGUAACAUAGGCUGCCUCUUGGUUUAUUCUGUUUCUCAAACAUUUUGCAUUGCAUGAAUUAAUAACUUGUGUGUGAAAUUAUGAUUUACAGAAGCUUCACCUGUAGUACAUGAAGAGACAGGUCCAUCAGAGGCAAAUCUCUUCUCAGGCAAAUAUAUACUAGAUCCAAAUCAAGCUCCGAGAAAGCAAGUAAAACCGGUCGCUCGACUUCAGAAGAUUCUCAAGUUCAGAUUGUUACUCGACGAGGAUGUUCAAGUCGAAACAAAUUCCCAAAAUAAUUCAAUUUUGUAAACUAGCAAACUCAAAAUUUGUAGUUAAAUGUUGAUCCUUAACUUUGAAAGUAAUUUAAU